UUCAUGAUUUUGUGCUGCAGUUAUGUUUAUAGAACCUGCUUGGAGGAAACAGAACAAUAGUGGAGAGGCUGGUAUGAAGGCCUUUCAGAUAAAUUUCUAUCAUGUCCCGUUCCCAAGCUCUUGCUUUUAGCAGGAACAGACAGGCUGGACAGAUCUCUUACAAUCGGGCAAAUGCAAGGCAAGAUCCAAAUGGCAGUUGUCAGACA